CUGGCACCACUCAUUUUUUCCAAAUCCCUGGCUAAAUUUUGAACUGAAUUCCUUUGUCACCUCAGAUACCUAGCUGGAACAAAUUAGUACUUAUACAAGUCUAAUUUGUUCUCCAUUUCUCUGCUGAAAUACUGGCCCCUGUAAGGAAAUAGGCACUGUGGAAAGGAAGGAUGUCUUUAUGGUAAAGUCAGUGAGUUAUGAAAAUAUCAUGGUUUUGUAACUUUGCUAUUGGUAUUCCACAUCAUAACAUCAUGGACAAAAGAGAAGAACUACGUAUCCCAGAGGACCUCACGGUCAGAGAAGGAAGAUACAUCACGGAAGAUACGUCAUCUGGUUGCGCGCGGUCUUUUUCACUUUCGCUUGCUGCCAGGGAGAGGAGUGGGUGUGCUUCCAAGCCGUGCGCCUUCAUCAACUUUCCUCUGGCUUAAUAUCAUGAAUGCUGUAUGCUUUGGGAGCUUCUCAAACAUUAUGAGACCAUCUAAAGAACCUGAAGGUGCACAAAUCCAUAGGACCCAACAAGAACUAUCCAUGAGUUAUGAGGGAAGUGGCUGAAGAUGCCAAGCUGCUAUUCAUCAUAUUUGAAAGGUCAUGGCAGUCUAGUGAAGUUCCCACCAACUGGAAAAGGGGAAACAUAAUCCCCAUUUUCAAGAAGGAAAAAAAGAAGAUCCAGGGAGCUAGAGGCCAGUCAGUCUCACCACUGUGCCUGGCAAGAUCAUGGAACAGAUCCUCCUGAAGGCUCUACUAAGGCACAUGGGAAAUAAAGACAAGGUGACUCGUGGUAACCAACGUGACUUCACCAAGGAUAAGUCAUGCCUGACAGACAUGGUGGCCUUUUAUGAUGGAGUUACAGCAUCAAUGUAUAAAGGAAAAGUAAAUGAUGUCAUCUACCUGGACUUGUGCAAAGCAUUUGACACUGUCCCACACAACAUCCUGGUCAUCAAAUUGGAAGAAAAUAAAUUUGAUGGAUGGACUACUCACUGAAUAAGGGAUUGGCUGGAUGGUUGCACUCAGAAAGUUGUGGUCAAUAGCUCAGUUUCCAAGCGGAGAUUGAUGAUGAGAUGAGUGGCGUUCCUCAGGGAUUGGUGUUGGGAUUGGUAUUAUAUAAUAUCUUUGUAGGCAACAUGGACAGUUGGAUUGCACCCUCAGCAAGUUUGCAGGUGACAUCAAGCUGAGUUGUAUAGUUAACACGCUAGAGGGAAGGAAUGCCAUUCAGAGGGACCUGGACAGGCUUGAGAGGUGGGCCCAUGCCAACCUCAUGAAGUUCAAAGAGGUGAAGUCCUACACCUGGGUCAAGGCACUCUCAAGCACAGAUACAGGUUGGGUGGAAAAUGGCUUGAGAGCAGCCCUGAAAAGAAGGAUUUGACUGUGUGAUUGAUGAAAGAUUCAACAAGAGCUGGCAAGUGUGCACUUCCAGCCCAGAAGGCCAACUGUAUCCUGGGUUGCAUCAAGAAAAGUAUGACCUGGAAGUCAAAGGAGGUGAUUCUGACGCUCUACUCUGUGGAAAGACCUCACCUAGAGUACUGCAUCUGGUUCUGGAGCUCCCAGCACAAGAAGGACAUGGAGUUCUUUGAGCAGGUUCAGAGGAGGGCCACGAAGAUGAUCAGAGGGCUGGAGCACCUCCUCUACGCUCCAUAGCCUGGAGAAGAGAAGGCUCUGAAGAAGAUUUUGUAGCAGCCUUCCAGUACUUGAAAGGGGACUACAGGAAAGCUGGGGAGGGACUUUUUAGAAGGGCCAGUAGCAUCAGGAAAAGUGGAAAUAGUUUUGAGCUGGAAGGGUGUGGAUUUAGACUAGAUAUUAGGAAGAAAUUAUUUACUGUGAGGGUGGUGAAGUGCUGGAACAGGUUGCCCAGUGAGGUUGUGAAUGCCCUCUCCUUAGAAACAUUCAAGGUCAGGUUGAAUGGGACUUCAAGCAACCUGGUCCAGACAGAGGUGUCCCUGCCUAUAGCAAGUGUGUUGGAACUAGAUGAUACUAAAGGUCCCUUCCAACCCUAACUAUUCUAUGAUUCUAUGAUUAAAGCCUAUGAAUUUUAAACUGGAAUUUGGAAUCCUGCCAUUAAAUAAUCUUAAACAAGAUGGUAUGCUAUUUGUUGAAUCAAUGGAGUUUUAAUGUCAGUAGCAUUCUUCUUGUGAAAUAUCUUUGUUUUGUUGCUCUGAGCAGAAAUCAGUUCAAUCUGAAAUUAAGAUGGGAGGAAGCAAAAACCAAAAAAGAGCAUUCUGGUGUAUCUCUUGAUAAUCUACUGUCAAUUACCACUGGUUUUACAUAAAUUAGUGUGUGAAUUGUUAUGCCAGUGCAAAUGUCACAAAGAUGAAAACCAUCAGUUCUCCUUCAUCCUUUUUGUGAAAUAAUUUGUGACCCUCAAUCUCUCCUCCCAGAGGUGUGACCUAUUUCUCUUGUUACUGCAAGGCAGAUUGUCAGUGCCAGUUUUCCAGAGACAGAAGAGGUUCUAUGCACAGUCAGUGUAAAGGGCUGUGCAAAGGAUCCCCCAUUUAACAGUGUAAACUUGUCAGGAAGAAAAGAAGUGGGUACAGGUAACUUAACACCUGAAUUUUGAGCAAUGACUUGUGUAUCCAAAUUGUAUUGGUAACCCUUUCUAUGCAAUUUCCAGGUGCUUAAGGAUGCCCUCGGUACUGUCAACAUCUUCCUGUGGGGAUGACUAGAGGCUAUGAAGCCUCAUUUCAGGGUUUUGCUUACAGUGUUUUAUUGCUGCAGUGGGCUGAAUUAAAUUCCAGCAUCCAUAAUGUGUGGUUUGUAAUGUAAGGGAAAGCAAGUACACUACACUUGUGAGAUAUAACAGGCAUAUUUAAGCAUUUUGAUUUUAAACAUUCAGUCUUUCAUUGGCUAGCUUGAAAAGAGGUUACAGAACUUAUCAUUUCAUACAGAGACUAAGUUUAGAAGUUGAAAGCAUGUUAUAGCUUAUCAUAUGUAAUACUUCUCAAAUACUAUGCCAGUAAGCUUGGUUUAAAAACAUAAUAGAACAGAUUCUUAGCAGGAUAAGGUAGCUACAAAUACAGUAGCACAGCUGCAGUAUUCUUGAACGAGCAACAUAGCAACAUACAUAAAUGUCACAAGUUAGUUUGGUUGCGAAGCUUCGCAGCAUUCUUCAAACUGUGAUUACAGUGCAACAAAGGAUGCUGUACUCUCCAGACAAGACUGGGUGAUGCAGUGGUGAUGCAGUGCAUUUACAUCUGGGAAAGUUAUAAAGUACAGAGCAUAAGGAUUUUGGAUCCUCUUACUGCUAAGUUAUUAGGAUGUCAACCAGUUAAAC
rnacentral:lncRNA from 1 species